rnacentral:rRNA from 1 species
UGAACGCUAGCGGCAGGCUUAACACAUGCAAGUCGAGGGGCAGCGCGGAGUAGCAAUACUCUGGCGGCGACCGGCGAAAGGGUGCGUAACGCGUGAACAAUCUGCCCGUAUCCGGGACAUAAGCGAUGGAAACGUCGUCUAAUUUCCCCAUAACAACGAGGGCCGCAUGACCCAUGUUUUGAAAGAUCCGUCGGAUACGGAUGAGUUCGCGAGACAUUAGCUAGUCGGCGUGGUAACGGCACACCGAGGCAACGAUGUCUAGGGGUUCUGAGAGGAAGGUCCCCACACUGGAACUGAGACACGGUCCAGACUCCUACGGAGGCAGCAGUGAGGAAUAUUGGUCAAUGGGCGAAAGCCUGAACCAGCCAUGCCGCGUGAAGGAUUGAGGCCCUAUGGGUCGUAAACUUCUUUGUGGUGGAGCAAUAAGACGUACGCGUACGUCGAUGAGAGUACAUCACGAAUAAGCAUCGGCUAACUCCGUGCC